GUAUAGAGCGGCGACAUUCACCUCCUCCCGAAUGUCGCCGCUACAAGAUCAGCAUACGCGCGCCGACCUCCUCCCCGGCGCACGUCAAUGGCGGCGAUGCCCACCUCCUCCCGGGCAUCGCCGCUUUU
rnacentral:sRNA from 1 species